rnacentral:tRNA from 1 species
AGGGGUAUUGCCAAACGGUAAGGCGCAAGAUUUUGAUUCUUGUUAUUGGCGGUUCGAAUCCGUCUACCCCUG